rnacentral:lncRNA from 10 species
CUUACAGCCAAUAGAAUAAGGCAAAGGUGAUGGGUCGCUCCCAUGAUUUUAUUAGACUAUGUAAGAUUCCAUUUUAGCAGACUUAAACAAGAGAUUCUCCUGCUGGCUUUGAAGAAGUAAGCUUCACUUUUAUGAAAAGCCCAUGAAAGAGCCUCCUGGCAAGGAACUAAGGCGGCCUAUAGAUUCUGAGGGUGGUAUCCUACUGAUGGCCAUCAGGAAAACAGGGACUUCCAUCCUACAGCUGCAAGAAACAGAAUUCUGCCAAAAACUACCUGGGUCUGAAAACGAACCCUGAACUCCAGAGAGAAAAAAAGUGAGAAGAGUCCAGGAGGAGAAAAGACUGGCCAUAUUCAGCCUGCCCCUGUGACUUCUAAGGCUAUGCUGCUGCUGGUGGUGUUUGUCAUUUUUCUCACUAAGAUAUUGAAGCUAUAAAGUUCUCUCUUAGCACUGCUUUGCUGUAUCUCACAGAUUUUGGUAGGCUGCAUUUCCAUGCUGAGGGAAUUCAUCACCACUAGACGGGACCUACAAGCAACACUCAAAGAGAAACUGCCUCAAAAAUGGCAAUAUCUUCUUUGUGCUUAAUGACCCUAACUUCAUGAAGACUUGGCAUAUAGGUUUCAUCCAUGUUGCAGCAUGUGUUAGAAUUUCACUUACUUCUAGAUUCAAUGCAAUCCCCAUCAAAAUAUCAACAUCAUUCUUCACAAAAUUAGCAAAAACAAUUUAAAAAUUUAUAUGUAACCGAAAAAGAAAAGUGCAAAUAGUGCAAGCAAUCCUGAGCUGAAAGGACAAAGCUGAAGGCAUCACAUCACACUACCUGACUUCAAAAUACAUUACAAGGCUAUAGUAAACGACAUGGUAUUGGUAAAAAUACACACAUGGAACAAUGAAACAAUUUAAAAAGCAGAAAAUGUCAUGUAUUUAUAACUAACUAAUCUUCGACAAAGAUGACAAGAGCUUACAUUGAGGAAAGAGAACCCUCUUCAAUAAAUGGUGCUGGAAAAAUUGGAGAGCCAAAUGCAGACAAAUAAAACUGGAAUUCUAUCUUCCACACAUGCAACAAUUAACUUACAACAAAUUAAAGAUUUAAAUAUAAGACAAGAAAAUACAAAAAAUACUAAAAGAAAAUCUAGGAAAAAGUAUUUUGGACAUUUGUCUAGGCAAAACAUUUAUGAAGACCUCAAAAGCACAAGCAACAAAAACAAAAACAGACAAGUGGGGCUAUAUUAAACUAAACAGCUUCUGCACAGCAGAGGAAACAACACAGUGAGGAGAAAACCUGUUGAAUGAGAGAAAAUAUUUGCAAACUAUCCACCCAACAGGGGCCUAAUGUCAAGAAUAUAAAAGGAACUCAAACAACUGAACAGGAAAAGACCAACUAAUUACAAAUAAUCCCAUACAACAGCGGGCAAAGGACAUGAAUAGAUAUUUUUCAGAAGAAAACACAAAUGGCCACAGGUGUAUAAAAAAUGAUCAGUCAAUAUCACUAAUCAUUACUGAUUAAGUUAAAAGCACAAUAAGCUACCAUCUUAUACCUGUCAAAAUGAUUAUUAUUAAAAAGACAACAGAUGUUGAUGAAGAUGUGGAAAAAAGGGAACACUUACAUAUUGUUGGUGGGGGUGCAAACUAUUAAAACAGUAUAGAGAUUUUCCAAAAAACUGAAAAUAGUAUUACCAUUUGAUCCAGUAAUCUCAUUACUUGGGUAUCGGUCUGAACAAAAAAGAAUGAAUAUGUCCAAGGGAAACCUGCACUUGCAUGUUUAUUGCAGCACUAUCCACAAUAGCAAAUAUGUGGAACCAAUUAGUUUUCAUCAAUAGAUGAUGGAGUAGAGAAUAUUUGGUAUAUAUACAGCAUGGACUAUUAUUCAGUCAUUAGAAAAGAAUGGAAUCCUGUCAUUUGCAGCAACAAGGAUAGAACUGGGAGGUCAUUAUCUUAAGUGAAAUGAAUCCGGCACAAAUUGGCAAAUAUCACAUGUUCUCACUUAUAUGUGAGAUUAAAAAUAUUUGAUCACAUAGAGAUAGACAAUGAAACUACAGAAACUGGGAAAGGUGAGUCAGGGAAGGGAAGAGGAUGAAGAGAACUGGUUAAAGGGUAUAAACAUACAGCAAGAUAGAAGGAAUAAAUUCAAUAUUUAUAGUAGAGUAGGGUAAAUAUACUUAACAAAAAUAUACUGGGGCUCAUGUUAUGAAUAUCCUAAAUACACUGACUUGAUUGCUAUGCAUUAUAUACCUGUAACACAAUUUCCCACAUAUCCCAUAAAUUUGUGUAAAUAAAAAAAUUAUUUAUUCGUAAGACUGAAUAAUACUUCAUUGUCUAUAUAGGCCACAUAUUGUCUAUUUAUCCUUAGAUGGACAUUUGGAUUGUUUCCAUGUUUUGGCUAGUGUGAAUGGUGCUGUUAUGAAUGUUGGUACACAGACAUGUAUUUGAGCCUAUGCGUUCAAUUCUUUGGCUAUAUUACUAGAAGUAGAAUUGUUAUUUUUUUAAAGAAACCAUGAUACAAUAUUGUUAAGAUUUGUAUUAUUUUAAACAGAUGUUCCUUCACCUAGGAUACCUAAGAGAGAUUUUUUUUUUCUAAACAAUCCUCAACUAAAAACUAAUGCAAUAAUGAUAUCUAAAAUAAAUCUCUUCCAGGUGCAGCUCAUGCCUAUAAUUCCAGUACUUUGGGAGGCUGAGGUGGGCAGAUUGCUUGAGCUCAGGAGUUGGAAACCAGCCUGGGUAACAUGGUGAAUCCCCAACUCUACAAACAAAUACAAAAAUUAGCCAGGUGUGGUGGCAUGUACCUGUGAUCCCAGCUACUCAGGAGGCUGCACUGGGAGGGUCACAUUGAGCCUGGGAGGUCGAAGCUACAGUAAGCAGUGAUCAUGCCAACACACUCCAGCCUGGGUGACAAAGUGAGACCCUGUCUCAAAUAAAUAAAUAAAUAAAUUAAAUUAAUUAAAUAUUUGCAUUCAUUGUACAGAUGGCGGACAAAGGACCUGAUGUUAGGUUUGCCUGACAAUGACCCUCUACAUCAUAAACAGCAACAUAGCUCUUUUUUAAUAUUAAUGAAGUGUCCAUUAAUUAUUUCCUGUUUUCUUAGAACAGAAAAAAAAUAGGAGACUUUUUGGAGUCCUUUAAACUGGAGAUAUUAGUGGUGUAGAUAGCAUGUUAGCAAGCAGGAUUGGAGAAAUAUUUGAAAAACAAGAGUUGACAAGAUCAAUUUCCUGGAUGUAGCAUGGAUGUUGAUUAAAGAAACAAAUUUUUGAGGUUAAAUUACUGGAUUACAAUUCUGACUUCAUUAUUUACCAGCUGUGUGAUCUUGGGCAAGUUACUUGAUUUUCCUGUAUCUUAGACUUCUCAUUUAUAGAUUAGUAACAAUAUUUAUUUCUUUGGUACUUUAUAACAAUUAAAUAAAUUGAAAGACAAGGCUCUUAGA